UUUGUCACCCCGACCAAAACCCUAAUAUUUCCCUAUAAAUAACAUUAACAAUUCAACUCCGUAAGAGCGCCGCCAUGGCUUCUAGCAAUAACAAUGUCAAAGUUUGAUAUUUUUGAGUUAAAUCAACUUUUUUCGACGAAGGAUUGCUGCUACUUCUAGAAUGGAUUGUACUUGCAAAAAGUGGCAAAUCAAAAUGAUGAGGAACUGUUUGCUGAAAUUUAUUUGUUGAAGAUAAAUAUCAUAAGCCUUCAAAGUUCUCUGAUUGCGCUUCUUUGAUGACUAAGAAGAAGAAUUGAGUUUUUUUGGCCUUUGCAAUAAUGUUGAAGCUGUUUGGGAAAUUUAUUGUUUAUUAUAUUUUGAUCAUAGUAUUAUUGUGUUGUAAUUACGGUUCAGAAUGCUUUGUUAUGCUUUCUAUAUUGUGUCGAGGUUGGAACCUCUCUACCUUCUAGUGUAGGAUAACAUGACAUACAUUCUAUUCUCUCCAUACUGUACUUGUGUUGUUACAUAUGAUGUGGUUGUUGUUUCUUUUACUACAAGGGAAACCCGCAGUUGCCAUCCUUUGGGUGUGCACACGUAAAAUCCCCUCCUGUGUGAUAGCUCGCAAAUCACACUGGAGAAUAACCCACACUAGUCAAGUCCAGUUUGAGGCCUUCGACCUAGAAGCCAAACCUUUUCUCUGGCCAGAGAUUUCAAACUUGAGAUAUGAAAGUCCCAAGUCCAAACUAUUACGUUACCGAAGGGUGUUGUUGUUAUAAAGUGUGUCGUUCGUUACUUUAAAAUAGUAGAAUUUAAAUUAUGAAUUAGGCAUUACUAUAAACUUUAGAUGCUUCUCUUCUUAUGGUCUUUUGGGUAUUUUUCAGCUUUUGAUCUGAUACAGUUUAUCUAAUGGGAGACAUUAGUUGGUUUCAUUGAGUAGUGUGAUAUAUACUUUGAGGUUGCGCCUUU